rnacentral:lncRNA from 1 species
CCUUUUCAUUAAUUCUAUAAUUUGUUUUAUUUUAUUUUUUAUCCAGAUGAACUGAAAGAACAUAAAAGCAGGUAAAAACUGGGCACCAGACAAGAACAGCAGAGUCUGCUCCAUGCAUUUUGCUGAUGGUGCACCAUCCCCCUCCUUUCCAAACCCUACACUGAAUCUAGUUUACCCAGUGCCAUCAACUAGUACAGGAAAGAAACGGGCACCACCAAAACCACGUACACCUGUUACAGUCCGAGCAUCGAAGAGGCAGAAACUCAACAUCCAGAGCCCCAGCACAGAAGAUGCACAGAAUCAAGG